rnacentral:tRNA from 1 species
AACAAAUUUUUUAUAGGUCUUCUAAAUCUAUUUUGGGUUUGCCCGUUUGUUU